GGCUUAGAGUUUGAUCAUGGCUCAGGAUGAACGCUAGCUACAGGCUUAACACAUGCAAGUCGAGGGGCAUCAGGAAGAAAGCUUGCUUUCUUUGCUGGCGACCGGCGCACGGGUGAGUAACACGUAUCCAACCUGCCCUUUACUCGGGGAUAGCCUUUCGAAAGAAAGAUUAAUACCCGAUAGCAUAAUGAUUCCGCAUGGUUUCAUUAUUAAAGGAUUCCGGUAAAGGAUGGGGAUGCGUUCCAUUAGGUUGUUGGUGAGGUAACGGCCCACCAAGCCUUCGAUGGAUAGGGGUUCUGAGAGGAAGGUCCCCCACAUUGGAACUGAGACACGGUCCAAACUCCUACGGGAGGCAGCAGUGAGGAAUAUUGGUCAAUGGGCGCUAGCCUGAACCAGCCAAGUAGCGUGAAGGAUGAAGGCUCUAUGGGUCGUAAACUUCUUUUAUAUAAGAAUAAAGUGCAGUAUGUAUACUGUUUUGUAUGUAUUAUAUGAAUAAGGAUCGGCUAACUCCGUGCCAGCAGCCGCGGUAAUACGGAGGAUCCGAGCGUUAUCCGGAUUUAUUGGGUUUAAAGGGAGCGUAGGUGGACUGGUAAGUCAGUUGUGAAAGUUUGCGGCUCAACCGUAAAAUUGCAGUUGAUACUGUCAGUCUUGAGUACAGUAGAGGUGGGCGGAAUUCGUGGUGUAGCGGUGAAAUGCUUAGAUAUCACGAAGAACUCCGAUUGCGAAGGCAGCUCACUGGACUGCAACUGACACUGAUGCUCGAAAGUGUGGGUAUCAAACAGGAUUAGAUACCCUGGUAGUCCACACAGUAAACGAUGAAUACUCGCUGUUUGCGAUAUACAGUAAGCGGCCAAGCGAAAGCAUUAAGUAUUCC
rnacentral:rRNA from 1 species